AGAGUUUGAUCCUGGCUCAGGAUGAACGCUAGCUACAGGCUUAACACAUGCAAGUCGAGGGGAAACGACAUCGAAAGCUUGCUUUUGAUGGGCGUCGACCGGCGCACGGGUGAGUAACGCGUAUCCAACCUGCCCACCACUUGGGGAUAACCUUGCGAAAGUAAGACUAAUACCCAAUGAUAUCUCUAGAAGACAUCUGAAGGAGAUUAAAGAUUUAUCGGUGAUGGAUGGGGAUGCGUCUGAUUAGCUUGUUGGCGGGGUAACGGCCCACCAAGGCGACGAUCAGUAGGGGUUCUGAGAGGAAGGUCCCCCACAUUGGAACUGAGACACGGUCCAAACUCCUACGGGAGGCAGCAGUGAGGAAUAUUGGUCAAUGGGCGAGAGUCUGAACCAGCCAAGUAGCGUGCAGGAUGACGGCCCUAUGGGUUGUAAACUGCUUUUAUAAGGGAAUAAAGUGAGUCUCGUGAGACUUUUUGCAUGUACCUUAUGAAUGAGGACCGGCUAAUUCCGUGCCAGCAGCCGCGGUAAUACGGAAGGUCCGGGCGUUAUCCGGAUUUAUUGGGUUUAAAGGGAGCGUAGGCCGGAGAUUAAGCGUGUUGUGAAAUGUAGACGCUCAACGUCUGCACUGCAGCGCGAACUAGUUUCCUUGAGUACGCACAAAGUGGGCGGAAUUCGUGGUGUAGCGGUGAAAUGCUUAGAUAUCACGAAGAACUCCGAUUGCGAAGGCAGCUCACUGGAGCGCAACUGACGCUGAAGCUCGAAAGUGCGGGUAUCGAACAGGAUUAGAUACCCUGGUAGUCCGCACGGUAAACGAUGGAUGCCCGCUGUUGGUCUGAAUAGGUCAGCGGCCAAGCGAAAGCAUUAAGCAUCCCACCUGGGGAGUACGCCGGCAACGGUGAAACUCA
rnacentral:rRNA from 1 species